UUUGUAGAAUGAACCGGCGAGUUACGAUCUGAUGCAAGGUUAAGCAGAAAAUGUGGAGCCGUAGCGAAAGCGAGUCUGAAUAGGGCGAAUGAGUAUUUGGUCGUAGACCCGAAACCAGGUGAUCUACCCUUGGUCAGGUUGAAGUUCAGGUAACACUGAAUGGAGGACCGAACCGACUUACGUUGAAAAGUGAGCGGAUGAACUGAGGGUAGCGGAGAAAUUCCAAUCGAACUUGGAGAUAGCUGGUUCUCUCCGAAAUAGCUUUAGGGCUAGCCUCAAGUGAUGAUUAUUGGAGGUAGAGCACUGUUUGGACGAGGGGCCCCUCUCGGGUUACCGAAUUCAGACAAACUCCGAAUGCCAAAUAAUUUAACUUGGGAGUCAGAAUGUGGGUGAUAAGGUCCAUAUUCGAAAGGGAAACAGCCCAGACCACCAGCUAAGGUCCCAAAAUAUAUGUUAAGUGGAAAAGGAUGUGGCGUUGCCCAGACAACUAGGAUGUUGGCUUAGAAGCAGCCAUCAUUUAAAGAGUGCGUAAUAGCUCACUAGUCGAGUGACACUGCGCCGAAAAUGUACCGGGGCUAAACAUAUUACCGAAGCUGUGGAUUGUCCUUUGGACAAUGGUAGGAGAGCGUUCUAAGGGCGUUGAAGCAUGAUCGCAAGGACAUGUGGAGCGCUUAGAAGUGAGAAUGCCGGUGUGAGUAGCGAAAGACGGGUGAGAAUCCCGUCCACCGAUUGACUAAGGUUUCCAGAGGAAGGCUCGUCCGCUCUGGGUUAGUCGGGUCCUAAGCUGAGGCCGACAGGCGUAGGCGAUGGAUAACAGGUUGA
rnacentral:rRNA from 1 species